GACAGAGGGGGCAAGCGUUGCUCGGAAUUACUGGGCGUAAAGGGCGCGUAGGCGGACUGGCAAGUCGGUCGUGAAAUCCUUCGGCUCAACCGAAGAACGUCGAUCGAAACUGCCGUUCUUGAGGAUUGCAGAGGAGACUGGAAUUCCCGGUGUAGCGGUGAAAUGUGUAGAGAUCGGGAGGAACACCGGUGGCGAAGGCGGGUCUCUGGGCAAUUCCUGACGCUGAUGCGCGAAAGCCAGGGGAGCGAACGGG
rnacentral:rRNA from 1 species